AUUGAACGCUGGCGGCAGGCCUAACACAUGCAAGUCGAGCGAGCGGCGGACGGGUGAGUAAUGUAUGGGGACUGCCCGACAGAGGGGGAUAACUACUGGAAACGGUAGCUAAUACCGCAUACUAUCGGAUAACCCAUAUGGGAUUAGCUAGUAGGUGAGGUAAUGGCUCACCUGGGCGACGAUCCCUAGCGGGUCUGCGAGGAUGUUCAGCCACCCUGGGACGUAGAAGUGGCCAAGCGCCCUACGGAGGCGGCAUUGGGAAUCAUUCGACAAUGGGGGAAAGCCUGAUGCACCCAUGCGGCGUGGACGAAGAAGCCCUUAGGGUUUUAAAGUACUUUCAGUCGGGAGGCGUUACCGACAGAAGAAGCACCGGCUAACUCCGUGCCAGCAGCCGCGGUAAUAC
rnacentral:rRNA from 1 species